rnacentral:rRNA from 1 species
GUGCCAGCAGCCGCGGUAAUACGUAGGGUCCAAGCGUUAAUCGGAAUUACUGGGCGUAAAGCGUGCGCAGGCGGUUGUGCAAGACCGAUGUGAAAUCCCCGGGCUUAGCCUGGGAAUUGCAUUGGUGACUGCACGGCUAGAGUGUGUCAGAGGGGGGUAGAAUUCCACGUGUAGCAGUGAAAUGCGUAGAGAUGUGGAGGAAUACCGAUGGCGAAGGCAGCCCCCUGGGAUAACACUGACGCUCAUGCACGAAAGCGUGGGGAGCAAACAGGAUUAGAUACCCUGGUAGUCCACGCCCUAAACGAUGAACACUAGUCGUCGGAAUGCUAGUCAUUUCGGUGAUGCACUUAACAGAUUAAGUGUUCCGCCUGGGGAGUACGGUCGCAAGAUUAAAACUCAAAGGAAUUGACGG